rnacentral:lncRNA from 1 species
GCAACUAGGGACCACAAAGCAGACCGAUGGAGCAUUCUGGAAAGAGAGAACAUGCACAGAACUCUGGACUGGCUUGAUGGUGGCCGCUCCCGUGAGUUUAAAGGGGACAUUGUUGUUUUUACAGAUUUGCUUUAUUUUAAGGAGAAGAGAGUCACCAUCAGCCUUGCACUGUCUCAGUGACUCUCUAGCAGAAACGGAGCCUGGACUAGACGAGUUGGCAAAGCUCGAAACAAAGAAACAGAGUCUAAGAAGAUUACUUAGUGUCUGCAGCACUAGAUUUGUUGAGGGUUGCUUAGAAACUAACCCACACACACAACACUAUUGUACUGGUUUUCAUUUUGUUUUCCUACAAAAAAAAAAUGGAAUUAAAGCUAAUGUGAACUCUUGCUACGAGAAAUAGUUUUCAUGAUGAUCUGUUUUGUUUUAGAUCUUUUCUCAAAGCCAUCCAGAGUGAUAGGAGAAUCUUUUUAGCAGGAAAGUACUACAACUUUAGCUAAUCUUUCAGACACACGAUUUGUCUCUUUUUAUAUAAUCUUUAAAAAGUAUAAUUGCAUGAAAGUCACUCAUUAGAAAUGGUAACGCCUGGCAAAUUUCUGCUCUGUUUCCUAAAUUAUCAUGCAUAGGAGGACCAGUCUCUGCAGAUGUCCACUUCCCACUUCCAGAUUAGUGAAGGUCCCGAGCACCAAGGGCCCAGCCAGGAGGGAUGGGAUGCCGGACGCCCAGGCCCAGCAUCGGGGGUAGAGAGGAGCACUGGAGAUCGCAGGAGGGGCCGUGGUAGAACAGGGACGGCUGCAGAGCCCAAGCCACGCACAGAUAAAGUGUCCCAGUGUGCAGGCAACGGGAUGGAGGCUGGAGAUGGUUCAAAGCCAACGCUGAGGAAAACCCCGGAAUGAGCCCUGCACCAACGACUCAACAACGGCAGCAGCUUUUUUACGGGAUAGAGGCAUUAAACACACAUUCAGAGAGGUUUGGAUUGAAAAGAUUUUCUCCCUUCCUAGUUAUAAGGAUUAGAGUUUCUGCCAAAUGCAAGCGCUAGUCAUUACUUUAUAAAAUCGAACUCUUCUAUGAUAUCAUAAAUAGACAUAGCCAAGCAAAUUUAUUUCUAAAAUCAAAGUUUGAAAGGAGCUGAGGGCAAGGACAAAUCACAUUUUUCCUAAUUAUUAUAAGUUUGAGAGUUUCUUAUAAUUUUUGACGAGUCAGUGAUCCACGGAAAAUAAAGCCUGAGUAAAAUAACAUCAAUUUUGUUAUGAUGUCAGCACAGGCUAAAAUUGCCUAUUUUUGUUUAAGCUAGCAUCCAUUUCUUCAUUUACGUGUUUGAUUAUGUGUGCCUUCUUCCCAGAAGAAUUGGAGGCAGCCUCCUAACACACUGUUUUCAUGGACACUACAUAUAACUUCAUGAGUCACCUUCUACUUGUACAUUUAGAAUGAAAACCAUAUAGUGUAAGAGGUCAAACUUAGAGGAUUUCAUUCAUGUACUUAAAAAACAAAAUUAAUACAAACAAAAGACUUCUUCAGAGUUCCCUGAUUAACACUUUACAUAAGAGUAAAUUCAGGGGAUAUCAAUUUUCAUUGUUUUCCAGGAGUUUUCAAUUAAAAUGUUAAUGCUAAUUAGUUAUCUAUCGGAAGUCUUUGCUUCAUUUCAGGUGCGUGUUUUUCCCUCUCCGUUACGGUUCUUGCUGUUCCGCGCAUGCGCCAUCGCAAGGCCAGGUAGCAGCUCAGCUGCCCGUGAGCCCAACAUUCUUACAGGCGGCUUUGGGCUUCUAUGAUUCGACGGGCAGUACCACUCCCUCUAGUUUACUCACAGAAGUGGCUUCACAGCAGUUGAAGUGUUCU